GCUGGGCAUGGUGGCGCAUGCCUGUAAUCCCAGCUACUCAGGAGGCUGAGGCAGGAGAAUCGCUUGAAUCCAGGAGGCGGAGGUUGCAGUGAGCCGAGAUCCUGCCACUGCACUCCAGCCUGGGCAACAGAGCGAGACUCUGUCUCAA
rnacentral:SRP_RNA from 2 species